UACGUAGGGGGCAAGCGUUGUCCGGAAUCAUUGGGCGUAAAGAGCGUGUAGGCGGCCCGAUAAGUCCGCCGUGAAAGUCCAGGGCUCAACCCUGGAAUGCCGGUGGAAACUGUCGGGCUAGAGUCCGGAAGAGGCGAGUGGAAUUCCUGGUGUAGCGGUGAAAUGCGCAGAUAUCAGGAGGAACACCGAUGGCGAAGGCAGCUCGCUGGGACGGUACUGACGCUGAGACGCGAAAGCGUGGGUAGCAAACAGG
rnacentral:rRNA from 1 species